rnacentral:rRNA from 1 species
GUGGGGAAUAUUGGACAAUGGGCGCAAGCCUGAUCCAGCAAUGCCGCGUGAGUGAUGAAGGCCUUAGGGUUGUAAAGCUCUUUCGCCCGCGACGAUGAUGACGGUAGCGGGAGAAGAAGCCCCGGCUAACUUCGUGCCAGCAGCCGCGGUAAUACGAAGGGGGCGAGCGUUGUUCGGAUUUACUGGGCGUAAAGGGCGCGUAGGCGGCCGAUCAAGUCAGGCGUGAAAGCCCCGGGCUCAACCUGGGAGGUGCGCUUGGGACUGGUUGGCUUGAGUUCGGGAGAGGAGAGUGGAAUUCCCAGUGUAGAGGUGAAAUUCGUAGAUAUUGGGAAGAACACCGGUGGCGAAGGCGGCUCUCUGGACCGAGACUGACGCUGAGGCGCGAAAGCGUGGGGAGCAAACAGGAUUAGAUACCCUUGUAGUCC